UGGGGAAUAUUGCACAAUGGGCGCAAGCCUGAUGCAGCCAUGCCGCGUGUGUGAAGAAGGCCUUCGGGUUGUAAAGCACUUUCAGCGAGGAGGAAGGUGGUGAGCUUAAUACGUUCAUCAAUUGACGUUACUCGCAGAAGAAGCACCGGCUAACUCCGUGCCAGCGGCCGCGGUAAUACGGAGGGUGCAAGCGUUAAUCGGAAUUACUGGGCGUAAAGCGCACGCAGGCGGUUUGUUAAGUCAGAUGUGAAAUCCCCGGGCUCAACCUGGGAACUGCAUUUGAAACUGGCAAGCUAGAGUCUCGUAGAGGGGGGUAGAAUUCCAGGUGUAGCGGUGAAAUGCGUAGAGAUCUGGAGGAAUGCCGGUGGCGAAGGCGGCCCCCUGGACGAAGACUGACGCUCAGGUGCGAAAGCGUGGGGAGCAAACAGGAUUAGAUACCCUGGUAGUCCACGCUGUAAACGAUGUCGAUUUGGAGGUUGUGCCCCUUGAGGCGUGGNUUCCGGAGCUAACGCGUUAAAUCGACCGCCUGGGGAGUACGGCC
rnacentral:rRNA from 1 species